AUUGAACGCUGGCGGCAGGCCUAACACAUGCAAGUCGAGCGGAGCGGCGGACGGGUGAGUAAUGCCUAGAAAUCUGCCUGGUAGUGGGGGAUAACGUCCGGAAACGGGCGCUAAUAACGCAUACUAUCAGAUGAGCCUAGGUCGGAGUAGCUAGUUGGUGGGGUAAAGGCCUACCAAGGCGACGAUCCGGAACUGGUCUGAGAGGAUGAUCAGUCACACUGGACCUGGGACACGUUCCAGACUCAUACGGGAGGCAGCAGUGGGGAAUAUUGGACAAUGGGCGCAAGCCUGAUGCAGCGACGCCGCGUGGGGGAUGAAGGCUGUCGGGGUGUAAACCUCUUUCGCUAUCGAACGGGUAGGUGGAGAAGAAGCGCCGGCUAACUACGUGCCAGCAGCCGCGGUAAUUC
rnacentral:rRNA from 1 species